rnacentral:rRNA from 1 species
CACCGGCGGCUCGAGUGGUGGCCCCUUUUAUUGGGUCUAAAGAGUCCGUAGCCGGCUUGGCAAGUCCCCUGGGAAAUCUGGCGGCUUAACCGUCAGGCGUCCAGAGGAUACUGCCAGGCUUGGGACCGGGAGAGGUGAGAGGUACCUCAGGGGUAGGGGUGAAAUCUUGUGAUCCCUGAGGGACCACCAGUGGCGAAGGCGUCUCACUAGAACGGGUCCGACGGUCAGGGACGAAAGCUGGGGGCACGAACCGG